rnacentral:rRNA from 1 species
GAGUUUGAUCGUGGCUCAGAUUGAACGCUGGCGGCAUGCCUUACACAUGCAAGUCGAACGGCAGCAUGACCUAGCUUGCUAGAUUGAUGGCGAGUGGCGAACGGGUGAGUAAUACAUCGGGAACGUGCCCUGUAGUGGGGGAUAACUAGUCGAAAGAUUAGCUAAUACCGCAUACGACCUGAGGGUGAAAGUGGGGGACCGCAAGGCCUCAUGCUAUAGGAGCGGCCGAUGUCUGAUUAGCUAGUUGGUGGGGUAAAGGCCCACCAAGGCGACGAUCAGUAGCUGGUCUGAGAGGACGAUCAGCCACACUGGGACUGAGACACGGCCCAGACUCCUACGGGAGGCAGCAGUGGGGAAUUUUGGACAAUGGGCGAAAGGCCUGAUCCAGCAAUGCCGCGUGUGUGAAGAAGGCCUUCGGUUG